AUGGGCUUCUGGAACGGCAAGGGCAAGCACGACCGCGAGGCCGGCUCCUCCUCGGGGCGCCGCCGCGGAUCCGUGAAGAAGGAGGAGCCCGCGUCUCCGUCGCGCUCCUCCCGUCGAGCCCCUGCGUCACCGCCGCGCUCCUCCCGUCGAGCCCCCGCGCCGACCCCCUUCACCAUUGCCCCUAGGCCCUCCGGUGAGCGCGACCGGCAGUACAUCUGCGCGGAUGUGUGCCGGAGGUACUGGGAGACGAGGACGCCAGUCCCGUGGAGCGACGCCCACCUCCCCAACGGGUGGCACCUCUCCGCGGACCGGGUCCUCAUCCCGCCAGUGCCGGCGACCGGCCGUGCACGGUGCGAUGAGAUCAACCGCCGCCGCCGCCUCCUCCCCGACGACCUGUACUACGACCACAGGUAUGCCCCUGACUCCCCGCUCUGGGACACAUGGCUCCAGGACGAGCUCGACACGCGCCGCGCGUCCUACUUCGCCGGCACCGUGUCGGGGCCGCGGAGGCCACGUGUAGAGCCACGCGGGCGUACGCGGGUGCGCGGCCUGACGCCCCCGCCGUCGCCUUCCCCGUCUCUGUCGCCCCCUCCCCUCUUCGCAUGA
rnacentral:rRNA from 1 species